rnacentral:rRNA from 1 species
UAAGGAAUAUUGGUCAAUGGACGCAAGUCUGAACCAGCCAUGCCGCGUGGAGGAUGAAGGUCCUCUGGAUUGUAAACUUCUUUUAUCUGGGACGAAAAAAGGGUUUUCUAACUCGUCUGACGGUACCAGAUGAAUAAGCACCGGCUAACUCCGUGCCAGCAGCCGCGGUAAUACGGAGGGUGCAAGCGUUAUCCGGAUUCACUGGGUUUAAAGGGUGCGUAGGCGGGCAAUUAAGUCCGUGGUGAAAUACCUGAGCUUAACUUGGGAACUGCCAUGGAUACUAUUUGUCUUGAAUGUCGUGGAGGUUAGCGGAAUAUGUCAUGUAGCGGUGAAAUGCUUAGAUAUGACAUAGAACACCUAUUGCGAAGGCAGCUAACUACGCGAAUAUUGACGCUGAGGC